UACCAAAGGCCGGGCAACCGGUCACUGAAGGAUGGGCCUGCGUCUGAUUAGCUAGUUGGUGGGGUAACGGCUCACCAAGGCGACGAUCAGUAGCCGGUCUGAGAGGAUGAACGGCCACAUUGGGACUGAGACACGGCCCAAACUCCUACGGGAGGCAGCAGUGGGGAAUCUUCCGCAAUGGGCGCAAGCCUGACGGAGCAACGCCGCGUGAGUGAAGAAGGUUUUCGGAUCGUAAAGCUCUGUUGAGAGGGACGAGAGGCAAGGCUAGGAAAUGAGCUUUGUAGGACGGUACCUUUCGAGGAAGCCACGGCUAACUACGUGCCAGCAGCCGCGGUAAUACGUAGGUGGCGAGCGUUGUCCGGAAUUAUUGGGCGUAAAGGGAGCGCAGGUGGGAAAGUAAGUCAGUCUUAAAAGUGCGGGGCUCAACCCCGUGAGGGGAUUGAAACUACUUUUCUUGAGUGCAGGAGAGGAAAGCGGAAUUCCUAGUGUAGCGGUGAAAUGCGUAGAUAUUAGGAGGAACACCAGUGGCGAAGGCGGCUUUCUGGACUGUAACUGACACUGAGGCUCGAAAGCCAGGGGAGCGAACGGGAUUAGAUACCCCGGUAGUCCUGGCCGUAAACGAUGGAUACUAGGUGUAGGAGGUAUCGACCCCCUUCUGUGCCGGAAUUAACGCAAUAAG
rnacentral:rRNA from 1 species